UGGGGAAUCUUGCACAAUGGGGGAAACCCUGAUGCAGCGACGCCGCGUGAGCGAUGAAGCCCUUCGGGGUGUAAAGCUCUUUCGACAGGAACGAUCAUGACGGUACCUGGAGAAGAAGCUGCGGCUAACUACGUGCCAGCAGCCGCGGUAAUACGUAGGCAGCAAACGUUGUUCGGAGUUACUGGGCGUAAAGAGUACGUAGGCGGUUUGCUAAGUUUGGUGUGAAAUCUCCCGGCUUAACUGGGAGGG
rnacentral:rRNA from 1 species